rnacentral:rRNA from 1 species
UGCCUACGGGGCGCAGCAGUGGGGAAUAUUGGGCAAUGGGCGCAAGCCUGACCCAGCAAUGCCGCGUGAAGGAAGAAGGCUUUCGGGUUGUAAACUUCUUUGACAGGGGAAGAGCAGAAGACGGUACCCUGAAAACAAGCCACGGCUAACUACGUGCCAGCAGCCGCGGUAAUACGUAGGUGGCAAGCGUUGUCCGGAUUAACUGGGUGUAAAGGGCGUGUAGCCGGGAAGGUAAGUCAGAUGUG